rnacentral:rRNA from 1 species
UAGGGAAUUGUCGGCAAUGGGCGAAAGCCUGACCGCGCGACGCCGCGUGGAGGAAGAAGGCCUUCGGGUUGUAAACUUCUUUUGUGGGGGACGAUUAUGACGGUACCCCAAGAAUAAGGGCCUGCUAACUACGUGCCAGCAGCAGCGGUAAUACGUAGGGCCCGAGCAUUAUCCGGAAUUAUUGGGCGUAAAGAGCGUGUAGGUGUUUUAUUAAGUCGGUCGUUAAAUCUCACUGCUCAACAGUGAGGCCGCGAGCGAUACUAAUGAAAUUGAGGUUUGCAGGGGUGAGCAGAACUCUUGGAGUAGGGGUGAAAUCCGUUGAUACCAAGAAGAAUACCAAUGGCGAAGGCAGCUCACUAGGCAAUACCUGACACUGAGACGCGAAAGCGUGGGGAGCAAACGGG